rnacentral:antisense_RNA from 1 species
AAUAAUGGUGGGCUGGAUGGGGGAGCCGCAAGGCUCGCCGGGUCUCCUGUUUAGCCGGUAGUUUCGAACCCUGUUCAGCUCACCGCCAAA